AGUGAACGCUGGCGGUAGGCCUAACACAUGCAAGUCGAACGGCAGCACAGUAAGAGCUUGCUCUUACGGGUGGCGAGUGGCGGGCGGGUGAGGAAUACAUCGGAAUCUACUUUUUCGUGGGGGAUAACGUAGGGAAACUUACGCUAAUACCGCAUACGACCUACGGGUGAAAGCAGGGGAUCUUCGGACCUUGCGCGAUUGAAUGAGCCGAUGUCGGAUUAGCUAGUUGGCGGGGUAAAGGCCCACCAAGGCGACGAUCCGUAGCUGGUCUGAGAGGAUGAUCAGCCACACUGGAACUGAGACACGGUCCAGACUCCUACGGGAGGCAGCAGUGGGGAAUAUUGGACAAUGGGCGCAAGCCUGAUCCAGCCAUACCGCGUGGGUGAAGAAGGCCUUCGGGUUGUAGAGCCCUUUUGUUGGGAAAGAAAAGCAGCAGGUUAAUACCCCGCUGUUCUGACGGUACCCAAAGAAUAAGCACCGGCUAACUUCGUG
rnacentral:rRNA from 1 species